GCGAAAGUGGCGAAAUUGGUAGACGCGCAAGCUUCAGGUGUUUGUACCGCAAGGCGUGAGGGUUCGAGUCCCUCCUUUCGCACCA
rnacentral:tRNA from 3 species